UUGACAUACUAAGAACUUUCCAGAGAUGGAUUGGUGCCUUCGGGAACUUAGAUACAGGUGCUGCAUGGCUGUCGUCAGCUCGUGUCGUGAGAUGUUGGGUUAAGUCCCGCAACGAGCGCAACCCUUUUCCUUAUUUGCCAGCGGGUCAUGCCGGGAACUUUAAGGAUACUGCCAGUGACAAACUGGAGGAAGGCGGGGACGACGUCAAGUCAUCAUGGCCCUUACGGCCAGGGCUACACACGUGCUACAAUGGUCGGUACAAAGGGUUGCUACCUCGCGAGAGGAUGCUAAUCUCAAAAAGCCGAUCGUAGUCCGGAUCGCAGUCUGCAACUCGACUGCGUGAAGUCGGAAUCGCUAGUAAUCGCGGAUCAGAAUGCCGCGGUGAAUACGUUCCCGGGCCUUGUACACACCGCCCGUCACACCAUGGGAGUUUGUUGCACCAGAAGUAGGUAGUCUAACCGCAAGGAGGACGCUUACCACGGUGUGGCCGAUGACUGGGGUGAAGUCGUAACAAGGUAAGCGUAGAUGA
rnacentral:rRNA from 1 species